GACGAACGCUGGCGGCGUGCUUAACACAUGCAAGUCGAACGAAGUGGCGAACGGGUGAGUAACGCGUAAUCAACCUGCUCUUCAGAGGGGGACAACAGUUGGAAACGACUGCUAAUACCGCAUAAUGAAGGAGGGGAUUGAGUCUGAUUAGCUAGGUGGAGGGGUAACGGCCCAACAAGGCGAUGAUCAGUAGCCUGUCUGGGAGGGUGAACGGCCACAUUGGGAAUGGGACACGGCCCAGACUCCUACGGGAGGGAGCAGGUGGGAAUCUUCCGCAAUGGACGAAAGUCUGACGGAGCAACGCCGCGUGAGUGAUGACGGCCUUCGGGUUGUAAAGGUCUGUUAAUCGGGACGCGGUACCGGAAUAGAAAGCCACGGCUAACUACGUGCCAGCAGCCGCGGUAAUAC
rnacentral:rRNA from 1 species